UACAGAGGAUGCGAGCGUUAAUCGGAAUUACUGGGCGUAAAGCGCGCGUAGGCGGCUUUGCAAGUCGGGUGUGAAAUCCCCAGGCUUAACCUGGGAACUGCAGUCGAGACUGUCUAGCUAGAGUAUGGGAGAGGGAAGUGGAAUUUCAGGUGUAGCGGUGAAAUGCGUAGAUAUCUGAAGGAACAUCAGUGGCGAAAGCGACUUCCUGGACCAAUACUGACGCUCAUGUGCGGAAAGCGUGGGGAGCAAACAGG
rnacentral:rRNA from 1 species